rnacentral:rRNA from 1 species
UACGGAGGGUGCAAGCGUUAUCCGGAUUCACUGGGUUUAAAGGGUGCGUAGGAGGGCAGGUAAGUCAGUGGUGAAAUCUUCGAGCUUAACUCGGAAACUGCCGUUGAUACUAUCUGUCUUGAAUACCGUAGAGAUGAGCGGAAUAUGUCAUGUAGCGGUGAAAUGCUUAGAUAUGACAUAGAACACCAAUUGCGAAGGCAGCUCGUUACACGAAUAUUGACUCUGAGGCACGAAAGCGUGGGGAGCAAACAGG